rnacentral:tRNA from 1 species
GCGCCCGUAGCUCAGUAGGAUAGAGCAUCGGUUUCCUAAACCGAAGGUCACAGGUUCGAAUCCUGUCGGGCGUA